rnacentral:rRNA from 1 species
UACGUAGGGGGCAAGCGUUGUCCGGAUUUACUGGGCGUAAAGAGCGUGUAGGCGGCCACGCAGGUCCGUUGUGAAAACUGGAGGCUCAACCUCCAGCUGUCGACGGAAACCGUAUGGCUAGAGUCCGGAAGAGGAGAGUGGAAUUCCUGGUGUAGCGGUGAAAUGCGCAGAUAUCAGGAAGAACACCGACGGCGAAGGCAGCUCGCUGGGACGGUACUGACGCUGAGGCGCGAAAGCGUGGGGAGCGAACAGG